rnacentral:rRNA from 1 species
CGUAACACGUAUGCAACCUUCCUUCAAAUGGAGGAUAGCCCCUCGAAAGAGGGAUUAAUACUCCGUAGUAUUACAGAUGGGCAUCUAUUUGUAAUUAAAGCUCCGGCGGUUGAAGAUGGGCAUGCGUUGCAUUAGCUAGUUGGUGAGGUAACGGCUCACCAAGGCGACGAUGCAUAGGGGAUCUGAGAGGACUAACCCCCACACUGGUACUGAGACACGGACCAG